rnacentral:ribozyme from 1 species
UUUUUUUUUUUUUUUUUUUUUUUUUUUUUUUUUUUUUUUGGUAUUUGAGAAUAGGCAGAUACGUGGCAGUCAUUACAGGGCCGCGAGGUAUAACGUAAUGCAAAUAGUAGCAACGAGUA